rnacentral:rRNA from 1 species
CUUGGCUGGAUCCCCUCCUUU